UCCUCAGUAGCUCAGUGGUAGAGCGCCCGGCUGUUAACCGGUAGGUCGCAGGUUCGAAUCCUGCCUGGGGAG
rfam:Natranaerobius trueperi strain DSM 18760 ZB100098, whole genome shotgun sequence.